CCGAGUUUACAACUCCCAAACCCUGUGAACAUACCACUUGUUGCCUCGGCGGAUCAGCCCGCUCCCGGUAAAACGGGACGGCCCGCCAGAGACCCCUAAACUCUGUUUCUAUAUGUAACUUCUGAGUAAAACCAUAAAUAAAUCA
rnacentral:misc_RNA from 1 species